rnacentral:rRNA from 1 species
GUUGCCUCGGCGGAUCAGCCCGCUCCCGGUAAAACGGGACGGCCCGCCAGAGGACCCCUAAACUCUGUUUCUAUAUGUAACUUCUGAGUAAAACCAUAAAUAAAUCAAAACUUUCAACAACGGAUCUCUUGGUUCUGGCAUCGAUGAAGAACGCAGCAAAAUGCGAUAAGUAAUGUGAAUUGCAGAAUUCAGUGAAUCAUCGAAUCUUUGAACGCACAUUGCGCCCGCCAGUAUUCUGGCGGGCAUGCCUGUUCGAGCGUCAUUUCAACCCUCAAGCACAGCUUGGUGUUGGGACUCGCGUUAAUUCGCGUUCCUCAAAUUGAUUGGCGGUCACGUCGAGCUUCCAUAGCGUAGUAGUAAAACCCUCGUUACUGGUAAUCGUCGCGGCCACGCCGUUAAACCCCAACUUCUGAAUGUUGACCUCGGAUCAGGUAGGAAUACCCGCUGAACUUAAGCAUAUCAAUAAGGCGGAGGAA